ensembl:lncRNA
CUUCAACAAAACAUGUGACUCCACCUGUUGUUCUGGAGGUGAAUCGCUCUGCAACACACGCAGGACUUUACAACCAGGAAGUGAAACCAGUGCGUCAACACGCAGACGCAGAAACACGCGGCGGCCUUCAGCCUCAGCAGGAGGCAGAUGGUCUCUUUUCUGUGAUUUAUUGAAAAGUAUCAGACAAUUCAAUUAGAUAGAACAAAGCUAUGAUCAGCCCUGAGAGGUCUAUAAAGGAACAUGUCUGACCCUUUAGGGUUCUCCAAGGGUCUUCAGAGCUCCACCACAUCCAUGGUGGCCCAUUCAGGUCCUGGAGGAAACCCUGGGAAUAUGAGGGUUCUCUGUAGAACCUCCUGGGUCCUACUAAGCCUCUCAUGACCUUAAAAUCAUCACAAUUCAUCCUGAUAUUAAAGAAACAGUUAAUAGUAAUUUGCCAUCAUGUUGUGCUUGUGUGGUUUGUAAAGUCCCUGUGGAGAGCCCGUCGCCCCCCCAGCUCGCUGACCUCUAUAACAGCGCUGCAGGCCGUAAAAUCGCCUCAACCAUUAAACAGCGGCACAACUCGGACCCCCCCCUGAAAAACACCCUGCCGCUAAAAUUAGCCUGCACAUCGACCGGCAUCGAUCCGGCAGCCCUACUUCUGCAGCGCCGCUCUGCUACCGGUUCAUGGUGUGACCCGAGGAGACGACCAGGAAACAACAAUACUACUUUUCUUUAGCGUAGGAAAGGCGCUUCAGUGUUUCCUUUACUAGCGCCUUUAGCGUAGAAAAGGCGCUUCAGCGUUUCCUUUACUAGCUCCUUUAGCGUAGGAAAGGUGCUUCAGUGCUUCCUUUACUAGCCCCUUUAGCAUAGAAAAGGCGCUUGUGUUUCCUUUACUAGCUCCUUUAGCGUAGGAAAGGUGCUUCAGUGUUUCCUUUACUAGCUCCUUUAGCGUAGGAAAGGCGCUUCAGCGUUUCCUUUACUAGCUCCUUUAGCGUAGGAAAGGUGCUUCAGUGCUUCCUUUACUAGCUCCUUUAGCGUAGGAAAGGUGCUUCAGUGUUUCCUUUACUAGCUCCUUUAGCGUAGGAAAGGUGCUUCAGUGUUUCCUUUACUAGCUCCUUUAGCGUAGGAAAGGUGCUUCAGUGCUUCCUUUACUAGCCCCUUUAGCAUAGGAAAGGUGCUUCAGUGCUUCCUUUACUAGCGCCUUUAGCAUAGAAAAGGCGCUUGUGUUUCCUUUACUAGCUCCUUUAGCGUAGGAAAGGUGCUUCAGUGUUUCCUUUACUAGCUCCUUCAGCGUAGGAAAGGUGCUUCAGUGUUUCCUUUACUAGCUCCUUUAGCGUAGGAAAGGUGCUUCAGUGCUUACUUUACUACCCCCUUUAGCAUAGAAAAGGCGCUUGUGUUUCCUUUACUAGCUCCUUUAGCAUAGGAAAGGUGCUUCAGUGUUUCCUUUACUACCCCCUUUAGCAUAGAAAAGGCGCUUGUGUUUCCUUUACUAGCUCCUUUAGCAUAGGAAAGGUGCUUCAGUGUUUCCUUUACUAACUCCUUUAGCAUAGGAAAGGUUCUUCAGUGUUUCCUUUACUAACUCCUUUAGCAUAGGAAAGGUUCUUCAGUGUUUCCUUUACUAACUCCCUUAGCAUAGAAAAGGUGCUUCAGUGUUUCCUUUACUAGCUCCUUUAGCGUAGGAAAGGUGCUUCAGUGUUUCCUUUACUAGCUCCUUUAGCGUAGGAAAGGUGCUUCAGUGUUUCCUUUACUAGCUCCUUUAGCGUAGGAAAGGUGCU